AAGUCAUAACAAGGUUUCCGUAGGUGAACCUGCGGAAGGAUCAUUACAGUAUUCUUUUGCCAGCGCUUAACUGCGCGGCGAAAAACCUUACACACAGUGUCUUUUUGAUACAGAACUCUUGCUUUGGUUUGGCCUAGAGAUAGGUUGGGCCAGAGGUUUAACAAAACACAAUUUAAUUAUUUUUAUUGAUAGUCAAAUUUUGAAUUAAUCUUCAAAACUUUCAACAACGGAUCUCUUGGUUCUC
rnacentral:misc_RNA from 1 species